UACGUAGGUGGCAAGCGUUGUCCGGAUUUAUUGGGCGUAAAGGGCGCGUAGGCGGCUUGGCAAGUGGAUGGUGAAAUCCCUCGGCUUAACCGAGGAACUGCCGUCCAAACUGCUUCGCUUGAGACCGGGAGAGGUGAGUGGAAUUCCCAGUGUAGCGGUGAAAUGCGUAGAUAUUGGGAGGAACACCAGUGGCGAAGGCGGCUCACUGGACCGGUACUGACGCUGAUGCGCGAAAGCGUGGGGAGCAAACGGG
rnacentral:rRNA from 1 species